AACGAACGCUGGCGGCAUGCCUAACACAUGCAAGUCGAACGAGAUCUUCGGGUCUAGUGGCGCACGGGUGCGUAACGCGUGGGAAUCUGCCCUUUGGUUCGGAAUAACAGUUGGAAACGACUGCUAAUACCGGAUGAUGACGAAAGUCCAAAGAUUUAUCGCCAGAGGAUGAGCCCGCGUAGGAUUAGCUAGUUGGUGUGGUAAAGGCGCACCAAGGCGACGAUCCUUAGCUGGUCUGGGAGGAUGAUCAGCCACACUGGGACUGAGACACGGCCCAGAAUCCUACAGGAUGCCGGAGUGGGAAAUAUUGGACAAUGGGCGGAAGCCUGAUCCAGCAAUGCCGCGUGAGUGAUGAAGGCCUUAGGGUUGUAAAGCUCUUUUACCCGGGAUGAUAAUGACAGUACCGGGAGAAUAAGCUCCGGCUAACUCCGUGCCAGCCGCCGCCGUAA
rnacentral:rRNA from 1 species